CACUCUGGAGCCCCUCUCAUAUCCCAUCUCUGUAUUUAUUCUGGCUCUGCCUGCCACCCCUCUUCCCUGGUGGUGAGUCAUGAAAUCCCACGAGAGGGGAGAUGGGAGCCAGGAGAGGGGAAGCUCUGCCUGGGCCUACUACUAGUCAUGCUGGUCAGACCAAUAAAAGACAUCUGUCCCACUCCGCUAAGUCUGCUUUUCUUGAGCUGACAGAUGAGAACACAGGGCCAGAGAGGCAGUGGCUGUCUACACCUCAGUUCCUCCCUCCUCCUCCCCAGGGUUGUGGUCCUGCUCCUUCUGCACUGAAGCCUUCCCCUCUUCUUUUUUCUGCCUCUGUUCCUUUUAGUAAAUCCCUCAAUUUCUGAGCCUCCAUGUAGUAUGCAGGUAAGGAAAAAAGGAGACCAGGGCAUAGCUGAAUGUAAGUGAAUAAAAUGGUGGUUCCUCAGUGGCAGUCUGCCUAAAGAUUCCCAAACAUUGUAAAAGAAAAUUAGGUACUAGACCAGCAGCACUUCUAAGACGGUCUCCCUCUGGCCAGUGUCAUAAGGUGGACACUAUAAUCCUGAGGCCUCCAGGAGGCAUAGGGGCAGUAGUGUGCUGGAGCUGGGUUGUACUGGCUCGGGAGAGCCAAGGCAAUUUUCAGGGAUUUUGUUGCAAGCCAGUUGUUAAUAGGCAUUAUUAAAAAUUGAGUUUUUAAAUUUACAAUUAAAUUAUAUUAAAAACGAGGUUAAUAAAUAUUCAGAACUUAUCCUAAUUACUAAAUCUGGCCAUUAUCUAUGUUUUUGAGGUUAACAGUCUGUUGUAUCUGAUGGUGGAAACCUACGUAACAGUGUGCUCCCGCACUUCUCUUCCCAAGUCCAUGUUCAGGAGGAUAUAUUGGUAGCUUGAAAUCAGCUCCGUGGGACCGACCAUUUACUGCACAGAAAUCAGAGCAGACCCUGGGGCAGCCACAGUUACCAAGAUGCCCUUUCCUAAGCUCCGGGUAGAAGCCAGUAUGGCUCCUUGGUGAGGGCCCCCUGACCUGGCGGAAGGAAGUGUAGCCUUGGACCCUGCCUUCCUAGUAGCAGCUAGAAUGAAAAGCCCAGACCACUGCUGGGCGGCUGCUCCUCCAUUGCUAAGACGACCACGGCUACGGCACCUCCCCAGAAAUGCCUCCAGCAGAAAUGACAGCUUUGCUGAAGGCAGGGGGCCUACAGUCUGUGCUCAGAUGCCCUCACAACCCACCUUCUACACCAGGACCUAAACCAACCGAAGGCCAGCCUUCCAGAAGGUAUCAGGGGAUGCUGAACGGCCCUACCACUGCUCAGACUAGGAGGUAGGACGGGAGGGGAAAAUCUUUAAGCACCUGAGGAGUGAGUAAAAUCUCAAGACAGCCUAGGGUGGAUCCUGCCCCUUCAGUGCAGGGGCAGAAAGAACACCCAGCUUGCCGAGGGUGCACCUCAGCCUUCCUCAGAUGUGCGUGUGCACUGGCAGUGGGAUCAUACACUACUCAGCACUAGGGGCUGCGCUGCUGAGAAAGGAUGUCCUAAAGGCAGUGCCACUGUCCCCCCUGCCCUGCAGGCCAUGAGCAACAGGUAAAUAGGCUGAGGGGGGAUAAUGAGGGGAUGAAGGGUGGCCUGAAAUAGUAGAGGUGAUCCAGGUGUGUAGUUUUCAUUGGAGUCUGAAGGUUCAGAGCAGGAGAGGUGAGGAAUACGUUCCACUUUCCCUUUCUGCCAGCACUGGCACAGCCUUGGCCUGCGCUCUGCAGCAGCAGCUGCCUUGUCUGCUAAGCUUAGACCUUCCCCAGGCCUCCUGGACCUCUGUGCCUACCCUGCUCCUCGUGCGGCUUCAGCUUUGUCUCCCAAGUCUCUGUCCCUCUCCUUGCUUCAGUGUCCCAAGAUAUUUUUAAGGUAGAACAGUCUGGGAGCUGGCCACUCCCAACCAGUUCUCCACCCCCACCCCACGUGUCUACUGCCUGCCACCCGAAUGAUCAGUCAGCCCGCCAUCACUGUCAGGACACAUCCAAAGGUGGGUGGUGGGCCCCAGACUCCCUCACAGGCCAGCUAAUACUUUAGCCCUGUCGACCCCAAUCAAUCAGUCCUAUAAAUAGUAGACCUGAUAAUAAUUAUUUUUGUUAUUUAUGGAAAAAAAUAUACUAAGUACAUCUGGACAUUUACCAGUCUAAUAAGUAGAACUCUACUGCCGCCACCUCCUGGGGCCCUAUCCUUGGGCUAAACCCACUCAGGCCACUGAGACAGGGUUGGUUGUAUAUAGUGGCACAACUGAAUGUCUUAGAUGCUAGAAAUGCAAAUGAAAUUGUCUUGGGUUAUACGGCCAGUCACUUUUUUCCUAAAAAAAAAGGAUGGUUAGCUCAAAAAAGGGAGGUGGUAAGUGAAGUCACAUAGUGAAUUAAAGGUAGGUCCUGGCCCAGUGCUUGCUGCACAUCCAGGUUAGGCUCAUUUCAAAUCAGCAGCCCUGGCUGCAAGUGACCUGAAUGCGGCUGCGCGUGGAGGGGUGAAAGGCCUCUCCUCUCUUUCAUCCUGUUCUCCCUGAAAUCCCAGGUCUGUGUAGUUGGGCAAGAUCAAGCCCUCACCCUGCUCCAGAGUGUGUCCCAAAGAGAGUCAGGGCCCGUUACCUCAGAACAGACCUGGUCCGGCAGCCACUCAGCAGUCUCCAGGCAGGCGAGCGGGAGUGUAAGCACCCACAAGGCACCUCCUGGGGGCAGUGCGGGGGUGGGGAGCCAGACUGACUCCUUCAAGAAAUCUACUUCAGACUUUCCUUGGGCAUCCUACCCCCUGGUUGCUUUAUAUCCCGCCUUCCCUGUGCCCCAGUCUUCUCAGGUGCAGAAUGGAGGGGGGAAGUAGUGCUUAAGAGUCUAUGUUUUGUGAGAAAAACUUAAGACAGUGUAAAGUGUUUGGCCCAGGGCCUGGCACGGAGUGAAGGAGGUUCCAUCAAUAGGAACCACAAUGUGAUGACAUCCUACAGAAAAAAAUAUCACCCAAAAUCUUAUUCCAGGUCUUUGUGCAGGGAGGGCCUUCUCCAGUCAAUCCAUAUGCAGACUGGUAUUCAGAUGGGUAGCCGCAAACCAUCACAUGAAGAAAGUGGAGAGACUAGCACAGCAGAGCUGCUCAGAGAGAAAAGGGGGAGACAACCCAAGGGAGAGGCAAGGAGCUGUGUGUGAGUGUGGGGGGUUAGGAAGGCCGAACACAACCAACUUCAGCUGUUUCUUAGGUAACAGGAGUAAGGAAACCCUCAUACCUGGGAGCAUUCGCCUGGAUGUGAUGAGCCUAUGGCUAUCAUUAAGAUAGUGUGGACACCAAGGUCCGCAGAACAACACGAGGUACAGGCCUGAGUGUGUUCCCUACGUCCGUACGACGCGGCCACAGCAAGCCCCGGCAGAAAUGCCAUGAGGGCCAGACAGCUUGAGGGUGGGGUGCUCCCUCCAGAUGAGUUCAAUAAAAUGAGAAACUU